UAUGGACCACCUACUUACCUGCCAAUUUUUACUCCAGACACGGGGGAUUCAGGAGGAAACAGAACAAAGAUCCUGUCCUCAGGAAGCUUAUAUCACUCUGGUGGGGCAGACCAACAACAAAGAAAUACACCAUGUCAAAAUAUGUCAGGUGGUGGGGGCCUGGCAUUAUCCCAGCCACACACACCAGAGGAGGUUGAAGACAGAAGAGGUGAAGAGAAUCAUGGCCACAGGUGUCCUACUGUGUGAACUGGAGACUUAGUGAUCAUCAGGUGGCUCUUGGAGUAGCAAAAAAGGUAGAGGAAGCAAGGAUUCUUUUUCAGAAGUGAUCUCCUUUCUAGUUUCACUGGCGCAUAGGAGCAAUUUUUAUUUAUUCAAGAACCCUUUGUUCAGCACCUACUAUGUGCCAGGGAGCAAUGCAUCAAACAGACAUGUUCUUUGCCCCGAUGGGGAAACAGACAAGUAUAACACUGGGUGCUGGACAGUGCAGUAAAUGCUAGACAGGAGCACAGGAAGGACCUCCAAUUGCAAGGAUGAUCUGGGACAAUCAGGGAAGACUUUCUGGAGGAGGUGGCUUCUAAGCUGAGUCUGGAAGGAUAAGGAAGGUGUUUCAGGUGGUCUUGGGAGCAGCAUCUGCAAAGAUCCAAAGGCGUGUGUCCAAAGAGCUACUGGCUCCUGGCGCAUCACUGUGGCUGGCUCUCAGAGCAGGAAGUGGAAAGUGCUGGACAGGAAGUGGUAGAAGGAGGGUGGUAGAGUCCUAUGGGGCCUUGAAAAGGAGUCCAGAUUUCCCCAAAGCAGCACCCAUCCCACCCACCUCACCCCCAGCCUGUCCUCUGCCCGCUGAGGCUUGAGGUUUGUAAGGCCUCUCUCCCAUCGCUCCCCCCAUCCCUCCCCAUCCUGGGAGGGCUUCUCAGGCCUCAGGGGGCAGCCUCUGUUCCCUCACCCCAAUGCCUUGUGAGUCACUAGGAGUGUAGUGACAGCUGCUUAAUGUGAGGAGUGGCUGGGCAGGUGGCCCACAGUGGCUGCAUGAGGAUGAACCAAAGUAGGGGUUAAGGGGAGCUCCCAACCUGGGGGAUGAAGGUUUUAAUGCAGUCUUGCUAAUAACUGGCUGACCCAGCCAUCAGCUACAAUUUAGGGUAAAGCAGGCUUUCAAGCAUUUUCUUUCUCCAAUGACUAAGUCGGUUUGCAAUUAUCUACUCCUCUUGUAAAACCCCUCACACCUUUUCCCCAGCCACUUCCCCUGCUCAGACCUGCUUCUCUUUGGAAAAUGCGAAAUGGUGCAUAUGUGAAGCUGUGUAGAAAUGUGUGUAGCUUUAUGUGUGUCUGUGGAUGAGAGCAUCUCAGGGGCGUCUGGGUGGAUCCGUCGGUUGAGUGUCCGACUUCGGCUCAGGUCACGAUCUCACAGUUCAUGGGUUCAAGCCCCAUGUCAGGCUAUGUGCUGAUAGCUUGGAACCUGGAGACUGCUUUGGAUUCUGGGUCUCCCUCCCUCACUUCCCCUCCCCUGCUGGUGCUCUGUCUCUCUCUCAAAAAUAAACAUAAAAAAAAAAAAGAAAGAAAAGAAA